GAAUUUUUCCCGUGCUGCAAAUCUGUCUAAACAAUUGUCUAGCUAUAUUUUAGGUAAUUGGACUGGAGAAUUCGAUGCUACGAUGGAGCAGCUGAGAGUGGCCAUUAUCACGUUUCUUCGCUGGCUUGCUUUUGUCGACGCUGGUGAUUGAACACAGCUUUGCCACUGAGUCCCACAACUGUCCUGCUCUUUUAUGGAAGUUAUUUCUAUACUAGCUAUGACCCAAGGCUCUCACUCACCCUCUACUCUAGUCUCCUGCCGUGUUCCUCUGGUUAGUCCUGCAGUGCCGGUCUCUGGGAAUGACUACAGACUCUCUGGGAUCACAGCUGCACCCAUGUCACCACACCUGUCUGCGGAUCCGGACUUUGAGCAGAUGCACAUGCUCAUUUCAUCGCUGCCUCAACUUUGCUCACGGUGUGGAGGAAGGGGCAUGACGUAGCCGCGUGUGUGGAGUCGGAGGACGGCUUGCUGGAGUCGGUUUUUCCCUUCGACCAUGAGGCUCCUGGGGAUCAAAUCUGUCUGUCAGGCUUGGCAGCCAGCUCUCCCCAGCCCACAUGUAACCUCCUCCUUUAAAAAUGGGGAUCUCGGGGCUGCAGAGAUGGCUCAGCAGUGAAGAGGGCAUGCUGCUCUUGCAGAGGACCCGAGUUCAGGUGCUGGAACCCAGACUGGGUAUUUUACAGCUACCUGUAAUCCUAGUUCCCGGAGGAUCCCACGCCUCUGGCCUCCCUGGGCACCAGAACUUGUGUG